GGGCGGGCGCGGCGGUCCCCGGCUGUGAGGCCGCGUUGCCGCGGGGACGCUGCAGGUGUGCACGGGAGAGGGCGGGGCGACCCGCGGCCGGGAUGCGGUUCCCUCCCUCCCUCCCUCCCUCCCUCCGCGCCUCGAUUCCCACUCCGGGCAACAGGUGGUGCCCGAGGGCCGGCUGCGAGCCCUGCGCGGCCGCCCUGGGAGCCGCAGGCGCCCUCGCCAAUUAGGGCGCCGCGGAGGGCGUGGCGUGGCCGCCCCGACGCGCUGACCAAUGGGAUCGCGGGGCCGGGGUGGGCCGUGGGGGUGGGCGUGGCCACAGGCCGAGUCCCAGCUUCCCUGCGUCGCGGCCGCCAGAGCUGCGCCGAAGUCUCGGCCGGGAGGAGCUGCGGCGGCGCGAUCCCCGCGAGGAGAGACGCCGGCCAGCCGGCCAAUGUGUCCCCGUGGGGAUCCGGACUUCAGCCCCGGAGCAGUCUGGUAGCUCGAUCCCCCUGGAAGAGAGACUGUAAGCAGACUAGAAGAACGCGUUCGGUUCGGGACACCGUUUGCAGCUGGAAAUGGGGAAUGGACUGUCAGACCAGACUUCCAUCCUGUCCAGUCUGCCGUCCUUUCAGUCCCUUCAUGUCGUGAUUCUGGGUCUGGACUGCGCUGGGAAGACAACAGUUCUAUACAGGCUGCAGUUCAAUGAAUUUGUAAAUACGGUGCCUACCAAAGGAUUUAACACGGAGAAAAUUAAGAAAUUGAGAAAUUGUUAGCCAUGGGUGAACUGAGCUCAUCAACUCCUUGGCAUUUGCAGCCCACCUGUGCAAUCAUAGGAGAUGGACUAAAGGAAGGACUUGAGAAACUACAUGAUAUGAUAAUUAAAAGAAGAAAAAUGUUGCGGCAACAGAAAAAGAAGAGAUGAGUGGCAAUCAAUGCCUUUUUUAUAUCGGUGUGGAAUAGUUUUCCCCGGGCUGAUUUGAUGAGUUGAAGAGUGUCUACAGCCUGGUUUGCCUGCCUGCCCUCCUGGAUGCUAUUAAAGCUUUGUUUUGUUGAACAGUCUGAUGCCCAACUCUGUUGCCUUGGGGAAGAUGAGUAACUGCAAUGCUUCUUGAAGUGGCUUGAAGUGGUCUCUUCUCCCUGACCCACAGAUCUUUUGGUACUACCAUUUUGGGAAGCCAAAAAAGGAUAGUCAUUGAGCAGAAAGCAAUUUUGUGGAAAUAUUUGACCUGAAGUUAGUGAAAUAAAACUUUGAAGAGUGUAUGCCUAGUGUUUUGU
rnacentral:lncRNA from 1 species